GCUCCUGCUGCUUGCUUUGAGGUCCUGUUCCUGCACUUCUUCUCCAACCAUCUUCAUGUUUCGAGGCAAGGUGUAGCCAUAGGCUACAUGAGGAGUGCAUCAAGCAGGAACAAGGCUUCCGCCAGAACCUCAAUAAUAAUGAUGUCAAACUUUUGUUUGGCAUAGAAGAACCUUAUGUAAAUAUCUUUCCCACAUGGAGAGUGGAGAUCAUUGUAUCAUGUAAGGAAUCUCCCAAUGUUUUUCUGCCAAUAAGGCUGAAGGAUUUUUAAUCAUGAUGAUAAGGCAGACAUUGGGAGAGGACGCAUGUGCCAUCAUACACAUCACUAAUGCAAAGGAGAUUAAAGUCAAAACUAUUAUUGGAUUUAUUCCACUAGCUUUUGGAGAUGACUUAAUUCUUCAUCUUAUUGAUGAUGUUUUGGUUCAUGCUCCUAGUUAUUGGAAAACUUUAAUUUCAUCUCUCGAAUAGAUGACGUGAUUUUAUAUGUUAUUACGUCAACUCAAAUUAUGUAAUGUUAGUCCCACCUUAUGGUGAGACGAGUUAUGUUUUUCACUAAAUGAACCUUUUGUAAAGAUUAUAUGCUAUGUUACUAUUGAA